rnacentral:rRNA from 1 species
CAAUAGCGUAUAUUAAAGUUGUUGCGGUUAAAAAGCUCGUAGUUGGAUUUCGGCGGACAGGGGGCGGUUCGAUAUUUGUCGCUACUGCCCCAUUUGUCCGUGUUUUUGGCGGAGGUUUCAGGGUGCUCUUCACCGAGUGUCCUGGGAUGCCAUCAGGUUUACUUUGAAAAAAUUAGAGUGCUCAAAGCAGGCUUUACACGCUUGAAUAUUCGUGCAUGGAAUAAUGGAAUAGGACGUCGUUUCUAUUUUGUUGGUUUUCGGAAAUCGACGUAAUGAUUAACAGGGACAGUCGGGGGCAUUAGUAUUCAGACGACAGAGGUGAAAUUCUUGGACCGUCUGAAGACUAACUACUGCGAAAGCAUUUGCCAAGAAUGUUUUCAUUAA